GUGGAAAAUAUUUACAAGGGACGGGUGGAAUCCACUGCCCAAGUACAUUCAGAAGUUGGGGUUUAACGGCGUGGCCGCGACGAUUACCAGUAACGAGGGUUUUACUACUACGCUAUGGAAGCUCGACGUGACCGCCAAUCAAUUUGAGGAACGCGAAUUAACGCGAGUCCCAACACCAAGCUGUGCUUGAGGGUUGAAAUGACGCUCGAACAGGCAUGCCCGCCAGAAUACUGGCGGGCGCAAUGUGCGUUCAAAGAUUCGAUGAUUCACUGAAUUCUGCAAUUCACAUUACUUAUCGCAUUUUGCUGCGUUCUUCAUCGAUGCCAGAACCAAGAGAUCCGUUGUUGAAAGUUUUGAUUUAUUUAUGGUUUUACUCAGAAGUUACAUAUAGAAACAGAGUUUAGGGGUCCUCUGGCGGGCCGUCCCGUUUUACCGGGAGCGGGCUGAUCCGCCGAGGCAACAAGUGGUAUGUUCACAGGGGUUUGGGAGUUGUAAACUCGGUAAUGAUCCCUCCGCAGGUUCACCUACGGA
rnacentral:misc_RNA from 1 species